CCAGACUCCUACGGGAGGCAGCAGUGAGGAAUAUUGGUCAAUGGUCGGGAGACUGAACCAGCCAAGCCGCGUGAGGGAUGAAGGUACAGAGUAUCGUAAACCUCUUUUGUCAGGGAGCAAAGGGCGCCACGUGCGGCGUUUUGCGAGUACCUGAAGAAAAAGCAUCGGCUAACUCCGUGCCAGCAGCCGCGGUAAUACGGAGGAUGCGAGCGUUAUCCGGAUUUAUUGGGUUUAAAGGGUGCGCAGGCGGAGGUGCAAGUCAGCGGUCAAAUUGCGGGGCUCAACCCCGUACUGCCGUUGAAACUGCAUCCCUUGAGUGCGCGAGAAGUAUGCGGAAUGCGUGGUGUAGCGGUGAAAUGCAUAGAUAUCACGCAGAACUCCGAUUGCGAAGGCAGCAUACCGGCGCCCAACUGACGCUGAAGCACGAAAGCGUGGGUAUCGAACAGGAUUAGAUACCCCAGUAUUC
rnacentral:rRNA from 1 species